AAGGGCUUGAAGGUUACCAUAGUGGGCAGUUCAAUCCCAGAAAGAUGUGGUGAUCAAUUGUACAACGCUUGCUGUGUUUUUGGUUCCAUUGGAGUGCUGAAAGCCAAGCACUGCAAGACGUUGGACGUAUUGGUAUAGGCAUCUGUUAUGAUAUUCGGUUUCAGGAAUUGGCAAUGAUUUAUGCUGCAAGAGGUAGGUUUCGUUUCCUCUUCGUCUAUUUUGCAUUUCCUACAAUGUUGACUGCAUACUGGUGCUGGGGCUGCCACUGGCCCAGUUUAUGCAGUUCGAAAGUAAGAAGAUUUCUGACAGUAAACAUGUAUGUCUUAAGUGGUGGACCUUUGGAUUGUUUUCCUUUGAUUUAUUUUCAUUUUAUCCCUUCCAAUGAUUUUUAAGUUGAACAUCAGCAAAGUAAGCCUUGCACAAAGGGGGCUUAGCUGUAUAAAUGCCUUUACGACAUUGCGAUA